rnacentral:rRNA from 1 species
GACGAACGCUGGCGGCGUGCUUAACACAUGCAAGUCGAACGGAAAGGCCCUGCUUUUGUGGGGUGCUCGAGUGGCGAACGGGUGAGUAACACGUGAGUAACCUGCCCUUGACUUUGGGAUAACUUCAGGAAACUGGGGCUAAUACCGGAUAGGAGCUCCUGCUGCAUGGUGGGGGUUGGAAAGUUUCGGCGGUUGGGGAUGGACUCGCGGCUUAUCAGCUUGUUGGUGGGGUAGUGGCCUACCAAGGCUUUGACGGGUAGCCGGCCUGAGAGGGUGACCGGCCACAUUGGGACUGAGAUACGGCCCAGACUCCUACGGGAGGCAGCAGUGGGGAAUAUUGCGCAAUGGGCGGAAGCCUGAUGCAGCAACGCCGCGUGCGGGAUGACGGCCUUCGGGUUGUAAACCGCUUUCGCCUGUGACGAAGCGUGAGUGACGGUAAUGGGUAAAGAAGCACCGGCUAACUACGUG